rnacentral:rRNA from 1 species
GACGAACCGUGCAAACGUUGUUCGGAAUCACUGGGCUUAAAGGGCGCGUAGGCGGGCAGCCAAGUCAGGGGUGAAAGUCUUUCCGGCUCAACCGGAAAUUGACCUUUGAAACUGGCUGUCUCGAGGGAGGUAGGGGCAUGUGGAACUUCCGGUGGAGCGGUGAAAUGCGUUGAUAUCAGAAGGAACGCCGGCGGCGAAAGCGGCGCACUGGACCUCUGCUGACGCUGAGGCGCGAAAGCCAGGGGAGCAAACGGG